UUCUAAUCGCCCCCCAUUGAAAAAAUCACCGGAUAAUUAUCCGUGAUGUAUCUUAAUAUCCUCAGGAAGAUGAAAUAUCCAAUGUGCAUCUCACAAAGUAGUUGUCUGAACCCCUUGAAAGGCACAUAUCAGUGCAGACUGGAGAGGGUUAUGGGGGCCACACGCAAUUGAAUUUCUAAAGACGUCAAUGAGAGAGAGGUUGAAUAUUGGCAGGCUGACUGUAUAUACACGUGAUCCUGAAGGCACAUAGGGGCACAAAGUGGGUACACCGGAGAAGUGUGAUAUAUAGGAUGACUACGAGUGGCAGGGGUACGACGUAAAGAGCCUCCAACCCUGAGCAAUAUCGGUCUGAAGGGCCUAUGGAGUAGGUGUGUGAGCUCAAACUCUGCAACGAAACGACGAUGAAGAGUGGCAUAGUAACAUGAUGGAAAAGGGUGGGGAAGGGGACUGACGAGAGAAUCACCGGGCAAGCUGGGACCCAGAGAGGACACUGAGAGUGUAAUGUAAACUAAUUAGAAGUGAGUCUACGGCAAUUAAGGUCGCCAGAGUGCCUGCUGCUCUGACACUUCUCCAACAACCUAUACCACGCUUGAUAACAAGGGGGGAAUAAUAUCCUGACAGGAUUUACUAGUGAGUGAAAAUGAUUGGAUCAACAGUUACGCGAUUUUUUCGACAAAAUUAAUCUUCGCUUCUACAUGAAAACGUGAGAUUUUCAUUUUCUCAGAGAAAAACUCCCUCCACUGCCGGUAAUGAUCUCGUGUAUUUGUCAGAAGGAGAGGGAAAUUGAUUGAGAAAUGAACAUUAAAUUACGGCAGUCUCACGAGAUUUAAAAUCUCUUUACAUUUAAUAUCAAAUGUUUAUGGAGAGCGAUAUCUUUUUGGAUUUCCCAAGUGCUAUUCCUCCACUAAAUAAAUCUUUAUUGCAUGAGGUUCGUGUGGCACGAACCAUUUCCACGAGCAACCGAUGGCUAACCGAAUCCAUCUCACUAGAGUGAUCCAAUAAUUUCCGUGCCACGAUUUCCUCAGUAUUAUAUACAUAUAUUCGGGGCUCGAUAUGUACCCAGACAAGAUCAUCUCUAUCACCGGAAUUUACUCGGAGGAGGAUUCAAGAAUGCCCAAUCAAGGAAAAUUAAUGAAAAACCGAAAUCUAAAUCAAGAAAUUGACGUUUGCAUACACGUGAAGCAGACAAUUGCGCUUUUUGACAGAACAGACAUAAAGGCUUGACAAAGGAGAAACGAGUUCAUACAGCUCGACUUUGACUUGACUGUUCUCCACUUUGAUGAGCGACGUCUGCCCCUGAGGAACAUUUUUUGACAAACGUCAGCGCGAGAGCCAUGAAAAACUCAGUGAAAAAUACCACGGGGAAGGGGGUAAAAUAGUCUAGAGAUAAGGCCGAUGAGGCAGAGACAGAAACCCCAAAGAGGAUGGUCUGCACAUGCAGCUGAGUGAGGAGGAUAACCAGUCCGGUAAGAGGGAUGAAAGAGAGACCCAGAGGGUGGAGAAGAUACUGUAGUGUCGCAAUAGACUGCAGAUUGGAGAGGCAGACGUACAGUCAGCCCACGCGGUACAGUCAAUACCAUAAAGAGAGAAUUUAUACGUAAAAUGGGAAUGUGGAGGGGGAUGAUAUCACCCGAGGUUCGAUUUGUCGGCAGACUAUCAGCUUGUAAUGCUCAGUGGAAGGGACUGCCCGACUGGAGCUCGAUAUUACUACUUGUACAAAUACAAAUGUCCUCGUGCGGGACAAGUGGCAACUACAGGGGUUCUCAUGUCAUUUUUCCUGUAUUUCUUGUAAUGUACAUACACUUGCAAUUAUAAUAAUUAAAAUCCUGUAGAAAGCACUUG